GCGGAGCUGCUGGGCCGGGCCCGCCCUGCCCCGGGGCGCGGCCCGGAAGCGGAGGUGGAAGGCAUGGGGCGGCCGCGGGACGGGUGGCUGCUGCCCCUCGGCCUCCUGCAGCUGCUGGGGGGUGCCGGAGCCGCAGCCUGCCCCUGCCGGGAGCCGCGGCUCUGCCGGCCCGUCACGGGCACCGGCGGCCCCGAGGUCUUUGUGUUCGAUGUGGGGAAGAAUGCCUGGAAAUCCUAUGACUGGUCGAAAAUUACAACUGUGGCAGCUUUCGGGAAGUACGAUCCAGAGCUUAUGUGCUACGCUCAUUCCAAAGGCGCCAGGGUAGUGCUAAAAGGUGAUGUACCUCUUAAGGAAAUUGUUGAUCCUGCUAAAAGAACAGCCUGGAUAUCCCAACAGGUGGACCUUGCCAAAAAGCAGUAUAUGGAUGGAAUUAAUAUAGAUAUAGAGCAAGAAGUCAAUGAAACCUCCCCUGAGUAUUAUGCAUUGACAGAGCUUGUUAAAGAAACUACAGAUGCUUUUCACAGAGAGAUUCCAGGAUCACAGGUAACAUUUGAUGUGGCUUGGUCCCCUGCAUGCAUAGAUAAAAGGUGCUACAACUACACUGGGAUUGCAGAUGCCUGUGAUUUCUUAUUUGUGAUGUCUUACGAUGAACAGAGCCAGAUCUGGACCGAUUGUGUUGCAAAAGCCAAUGCUCCUUACCUUCAGACUUUAAGUGGAUAUGAAGAGUACAUUACUAUGGGCAUUGAUCCUAAGAAGCUUGUGAUGGGCGUCCCCUGGUAUGGCUAUGAUUAUGUCUGCCUAAAUUUAUCUGAGGAUCAUGUUUGUUCCCUUUCCAAAAUACCUUUCCGUGGGGCUCCUUGCAGUGAUGCUGCAGGGCGUCAGGUCCCCUACAGAGCAAUAAUGAAGCAGGUGAACAGUUCUAUUUCAGGGGUGCUAUGGAAUGAGGUACAGAAGUCUCCGUUUUAUGAAUACAAGGAUUCUCUUGGUCAGUUCCACCAAGUAUGGUUUGAUGACCCUCGCAGCAUCUCUCUUAAAGCGGCCUAUGUGAAGAACAGAGGCCUAAGGGGCAUUGGCAUGUGGAAUGGAAAUAGUCUUGACUAUUCCAGGGAAGCUGCAGCAGAACAACAAACCAAAGCAAUGUGGCAAGCCCUGACACCUUACUGGGAAACCAACAGAGUAAUAGCACAGCACCAAAAGCACUACGAUGAUGACUGCCAAGGAGAAGAUCUGAGCAUCUGACUGCUUGAUACUACAGCCAUGGUGUGCAACUCACCAGUACCUCACCUAGUAUGCUCCUUUAAUUACCAUCAGAGUGGAAUGGGAAUUUCAUGAAAAAGAUUGCAACAUAGUACCUUGAAAAUGCUUAGCAUCACUUUCUCCCAUAGGCAGUACACUGAUUGAUAAGAUUGCUACACCACAGAGACCCUAGCUCCCUGGUUGAGACCACAGAGAAACCACGGAAAGGUACACAGUCACAAAGGAAAAAAUCAGGCUGGGCAGUCAGACCAGGUGGGGGCUCCUGAGGAAUCACCCAUCAUCGCAUUCAGUCACCAGUGUGGACAAAGCUGGUGGAGGACAGAGCUCAGCAGCAGUGGGAUCUGCUCCCCGGAGCCCCAGCGCCCACCUCGUCCUGCCUGACUGGCCAGCAGCAAUUCCUCACCUCGCUUAUGAGGGGUGGAGAUCACAGCUCUCCUUAAUGAGCCUCAUAGCUCAUUAAGUCCUGGCUCUCAUCUCUGCGUGCUAGCCAAUACGUAACUGCUGUAUGCAUUUGAAGCUGUGCACAUCUUUUGUACAGAGGCUCCUUGUGCCCUGCCAAGGAGGCCUAAAAACCCUGACCCCCCCCCCCCAAAAGAAGCAUUAACGUACUUGAACAUAGGUCAUAAUAAAAAUGUAAUA